ACUACUUUUUUCCCUCAGAGCGCGGAAGGAUAUUGCACCAUUGACGGCGUGACAGCGCCUCGCUCCUUCCUCCCGCUCUCCUCCCCCCCCCCCCUCGUUCCUGCGCACGGGGUUUCCCGCUCCGGCCCCUGCUGCAGCGCGGGGGAGGGGGAGCGUGGCGGGGGCGGCGGGGGUAGCGAAGGAGGGGGGAGGCGGCGGGAAGGGGCGAGGGCGGCCGGGGCCGACACGACCGGGGCCCGGCGGGCCAGGCAGUCGGGCUGAGAGGGGCAGGGAGCAGGCCAUGCGGCAGCAGCUGAGGGGGCAGAGCGGCUCCCUGUCAUGGCUGCGUUUCCCCCGCCAUGUCGGUUAUUUUUAAAGCCCCGGUGCCUGGAAGUCAGGGGAUGACAGAGGAGAGCGGCUUCCUCGGGCGGGGAAGACGGCUGCUGGGCCGCGGGGCUCGCCCCUGUCCGUCCCCCCCCCAGAAAUGACUCCCUCCUCCUCCCUGCUAGGCUAAAACACCCCCUGAAUUCUCCCUCCUCACCUCCUGCUGAGGGGCAGGAAGGGGCUAAGCCCGGGUCGGUUAGUGAGGGGGGCAGCGCUGGGCGACAGGGAGCGGCGGCCGGCGGGGCCGUGAGGUGAGGGGGGAAGAUGGUGGCGCCUGAGGGCCCCCCCCCUCAGCCCCGGCCCCCUCCUCAGCCCCGGCCCCCGCUGAAGCACGGGGUGGGUUUGUGUGGAAACCGGCGUCGCGGUGAGGAGGCCGGCCGGGCCCGGGGGCGGGGGGGUGCGCGGGCGGCGGGUGCUCCGUCUGCCCGGGUUUAGGACAGCAGCUUAGCUGAAUCACGCAAAUUUGUCACGGGGUGUUAAAUGUGGAUAAUUUCUAAAGGGGAUGAAGGCGUAUUUGGAGAGUAUUUGAGGGAGAUAGGCGGGGUGGUCCUCGGGGCGCUACUGAAAACGCAGUGCUGCGGUUCAUAGUACAGCCAGCGAUGUCUGCGAAAAAAAUCUGUCACGGCUGAUUUAAAGGUUGCACCCAGGAACAGCUGCCCACGUUUUCCUGGGGUCCACUGACACAAGCAAGCAUGGACAUCCACUGAUGCAAGCACAGACAGGAUGCAGAAGGAAAGAGAGAAAAGUCAGAACCGUAAAGGACUGCUGCCUCAGAGCUGCUGUUGCCAUAGAGCUGCUAACGAGGAAAAAACUGCAGCAUGGAUUUCUUCUGCUGUUGAAGUGUGCCAAAAUUUUGAGCUGGUGUGUGGGCCACAGGAGGUGUUCUUAGAUUGAUGGGAGUGAAUUGUUUGAGAACUUCUGAGUUGUGACGAAAGGGAGAGGAACCUGCUCUUUAAGAAUCUCAAACAACUACAGGGAAAGUGUGACGACAAAGGUUGGUUUGUGCAGAAAAGUAGUGAGUGCAGAAUUUGGAUCACUCUCCAUAAAAGUCUCCAGGAAUAUUUAGAGGUACCGUUCUUGAACCAGGCUGAGGCCCUGAUCUUUACAACAUUAUUGCAGGAGCUGUCUGGGUCUGUCCAUAAUGAAUGGAGAAGGAAUGGCUUCAUCACCUGGAGAUUCCUCUUCUAAUCUAGAUGGGAUGACUUGCCACUGGAGGAGCAUGUACUUUGCUGUUCAUUUCAGAAGAAGUCCUGGCAGCAAGUCUCAGCCAUUGGCAGUAAUCUAUGUGCUUAAACCUUCAACAUUUAUCAGUUUGAAGCUCAAGUGCUUACAGUCACUAGUCAUGGGCCAGCCACACUGGAUACCUUUCAAAUGCAAGCAACUGAUGCUUCAAGCUAAUAAGGUUGGUUAUUCACCUGGGGCUCAGUCCUGCACAGGAAUCUCUCAUUUGACUGCUUAUGUGAGAGUUUACAUUUGUUUUAAAGACACUCAUACAGAAGAGGUUUAAGAGGUUUGGCUCUUUUGGCAGUGGGAUGUGGCUUCUUCUGUAGUUCCUCCAGGGACUGCAAGGAAUCAGAGGUUGUUUCUGAACACUUUUGGAUCCCUCCAUGUGGUCAGGAUGCUAUCUGCUUAGCUUUUAAAAAUUUCAAGGACAUGGAAUGAACUGAUGUUUCUGAAGCGGAGGCUGACAGUGAGUACUGGUCUUCUGCUGCAUCUCUUGAAAUACCUAAAUCAAACCAUGCCCAUCUUUGAGAUGAUAGUUCCCAAGCUGGAGUGGCCCCUAGUUCGGGUUUGGGCGUUACCCUUUCGCUUGUAACUUCAACUCAGAAAAAUAGGCACAUAUCUGAAUAACAAACUUGUCAUCACAAACGUUUUCUGUAAGUGUCAGGUCUCCAACUAAAUUGCCUGGAUUUUCUUUCCUGGGAGUAAUUUUUGAGUAGAGAUGAAUAAGGUAUUUUAUUUGUCAGUUCUAAUUUGAAAAGCAAAGUCCAUUAUGUUUCAAAAAGCAAAGUUCAUUAUAUUUCAAAAGCCUUAGCUAUAGCAGACCAGCUUCAGAUGAUAUUGCAUGUAUAUCUUGAUAGGACACUGGGAAAGGCUUACAUCCUUGCCUACUUCAUUUUGAACUCCCCAUUUGAUCUUACUUUCUCCUAGUUGAUUCUCCCAGGCUAAGAAAAAUGCAUAAACACAAUUCCCUUUCACUGAUCUGAAAAUAUGUAGGAAGGCCCCUUCAGCACUCUCUCUCUGAAGAUGGUCUCAGCUUCUCCAGCCUCUCCUGAUAAUGAAGAUUUUCACUGACUGUAACAUCCUCAUUUCUGUCCUACAGUGCACGUUCUACAUCCUUCUCUAUGUACAAUUCUGGUGCUGCAAUGACUGUAGCUAUAUACUGCUUUAGAAGGAGUUUGGUAAUUACAAUAAUGGUAUCAUUUGGGGAACCUGAUAAUCAAUUCUCUGAUGUAGGAGGUUUUUACCUCUUUUUCUUUCAUGUUCUAAGAAUUGCAAUGACAGCUUGGUCCUGCUUCUAAUUUAUCCCUUAUUCCAUUUCACUCUUUUGUUUCUGAUGAAACAACCCCUCACAAUCUGAUAUGAGUGAAAGGCAGCACAGUGUCAAAAGAAAGUCCCACGUCUGGCUGCCAAGCAAAAGACAAAAUGUACCAGUAGGAUGCUGUGCAUCAGCAGUGCUUCCAGGAGGCAGCCUUCUUCCAGAUCUUGCCCCCAGUGUGUCACUGUUAGAGAGAACACAACCAACAUGUUUUAAUGAAGAAUACUGGCAGUCAGCUGGAAGAGAAGAGACCAUAUUUAUCCUUUCUGUAGCACCAUUUUGACUAGCAUCAUUUAUGCAUGUUUAGGGUUUGUUGUUCACUACAAGAGCAGUGACUGGUGUCCUGGUUUCAGCUGGGAUAGAGUUAAUUGUCUUCCUAGUAGCUGGUACAGUGCUAUCUUUUUGAGUUAGGUAUGAGAAGAAUGUUGAUAACACACUGAUGUUUACAGUUGUUGCUAAUAGUGUUUAGUCUAAAGUCAAGGAUUUUUCAGCUUCUGAUGCCCAGCCAGCAAGAAGGCUGGAGGGGCACAAGAAGUUGGGAGGGGACACAGCCAGGGCAGCUGACCCAAACUGGCCAAAGGGGUAUUCCAUACCAUGUG